UUGCCAGGGAACGGGGGCGGGGGAAAUGGGAGUCCUCGUUGCAUGGGUUACAGAGUCUAUGUUUUGUAAGACGAGACAGCUCUGGAGACGGGUGGCCGUGAUGGUCACACAACACUGUGAAUGUGCUCAAUGCUGCUGAACAGCGCACCGAAGAAUGGCUGAAAUGGUAAGUUUUAGGUUACGUCUAUUUUACCGCAAUAGAGAAGGAAAUAAAUGAAUAAAUAGAAAAGAUUCUUAUUAUUCAUUUGUGACUUUAUAAGAUAAGCAUGUGUUUGAAAAUUAAAUGCAGAGAAGAACAAUCAAAUUAAAAUAAUGCAAUUCUGGGGGUGCCUGGGUGGCUUAGUUGGUUAAGCGUCAGACUCUUGGUUUCAGCUCAGGUUAUGACCUCAUGGUUUGUGGGUUCAAGCCCUGCACCCAGCUCUAUGCUGGCAGUGCGGAGCUUGCUGGAGAUUCUCUCUCUGCCCUCUCCUCUCUCUCAAAAAUAAAGAAACUUUUUUUUAAUGUUUAUUUAUUUUUGAGAGAGUGCAGGUGGGGGAGGGGUAGAGAGAGGGGGACAAAGAAUCCCAAGCCGGCUCCUUGCUGACAGCAGUGAGCCCGACGUGGGGCUCGAACCCACAAACUUCGAGGUCAUGACUUAAGCCUAAGUCGGACACUCAACUGACUGAGCCACCCAGGCACCCCUAAAUAAACAUUUUUUUAAAUGUUAAACAUUUUUUACCAGGAAGAUCUGACUAUAAUAAUGAUUUCUAUCCAAUCUUUUUCUUUGUGUUCAUCUACCUAUCUGGCUCUCUCCUGUAUAUAUAGCAAUGCAAAUGUUUGAGUUCACACUAUAGAAGCAGUUAUUCAUUUUACUUUCUUUCACUUGACAUUAUAUGAUGAGCAUUUUCCAAGCAAUUAAAAUUUAUCUCUAAACAUAAUGGUAAUGGCCGCACAGCAGCUCAGGCAUGCUCUCAUUUAUUUAGCCCUCCUUCUGUUUUUGGACAUUUAGGUUUUUGCAAUUUUCUGCUUUGUAAAUAGCUUUACAGCAGUCCUCCUAAUGUGCUCAUCUUGGCCCUGCCUCUGAUUAUUUCCUCAGCUCAGCCUUCUAGAAACAGAGCUACGGGGUCAAAGGACAAGUCAAUAUUCACAAAGCCUUUUGACGAAUUCUGCAUAUGUAUUGCGUGUGUGUGCAUGUGCGUGUUUGAACUAGUUUCAGAAGUCCUUCACCUGCCCUUUGUUCCUUUGGAGACCUGGAUUGUCAACUUCUUUCCACCAGUGCUGGCUGAGUGGUCCUCAGUUUCCUGCUCCCUGGAAACUACCUUUAGGGAACACAUGUUUGAACUCUGCUCACCCCUUAGUCCAAAGCUAGAGAUCUGAGCAAAGGAGGUCAGCCGGGCAAAGUGAAUUAUACAGGGUCUGAGGUUGUGUUUGGGUAAAUAUGGCUGCUAUCACAGAGGAAGGUGUGAGGUGAGGGCAGAGCUCAGUCCCCAGGGCUGUGCUCUGAAGCAUUCGGCAAGCUUCCUGCUUUGUAAGAGCAAGGAAAGGGAAAGCUUGCUCACGCUUCCUUGACUGCUGGAAACAAGUGGUUAAAUGUAGCCUGGGCCACCCUGGCCUUUGGGCUUCUCUGCAUUAUGUCACUUACUCCUAAGUCAUGCACCAGCCCCAACCCUCAUAGGGGAAAUGGUCAAUCUCUGAUCCCCCAGGCGAUUUUUGGUUUCAGAAACCCUUCUUGCGGUUUUUCAUCAGGGUCUGCUGACCUUUUUCUCAUUCUGUUAACUCCACUUCUCCCAUGGGACUCCUUUCCAACCCCUCAGAUCUCCGCUCAAAUGUGAUUUCCACGUGGAAGCUUUAGUGACCCUCUCAAACGAGAUCAACACCCCAAUGUGCUUUUUGCCACAGUUUUUAAAGGGAGAAGACACGGAGAAGUCUGAAUACAAAUUUGUACGUUUGGUGUUACGUGGAUGUUUGCCCCUCUAAGCCCAAAGCUCCGUAAAGGUUUUGAUUUAUACCCCUACUCCAUUUCCAAAAGGAUUCAAGACUGCAGCCCAUUAAGGCUGGAUGCGUUUGCUGAGUGAAUACAGGCACGAGUACCUGAAUGAACAGAUGAGUGGGUGAUUUCCAGGGCUUUUCCGUCACAUUCUGAUCUCCUCCUUAGAAUAAGUCCCAACAUUACAAAAGGAGAUGGCUAGUGCAGAGGAAGCUCUUAUGUCCAUUGAAAGAGGCUCUCCCAAGUCGCGAUAAUGCAAACUCGCAUUGCAUUGGCAUUUUGGACACUUACUGAUGAUUCAUAUUCAGUUUGAUGUAACUCAAACCUUCCAAGUCUUUUCCCCAUGAA